rnacentral:lncRNA from 1 species
GAAACUGCGUGGAGAUGUUUAUCCAGGUUCCUGAAUUUUCAUCUGAAUUGCAUUUUCUUCAAAGAGUUAAUGAAGUUGAUGGCUUUGAAAUCAGAUUUCCAACUCCCCACCUACCCCACCUCUGAAUGCUCAGGAAAAUAUGCUACUGGAUCCUCUGUUUGACCAAAGGAAUCAUUAUGUAAACAUGUUUAUAAUGUUUAUAAUAAGCACGCAUAAAAACUGUGAGAGAAUGCACUGCUGAUAUAAAAUAAAGAGAAAUAUGAGAUCCAUGUCCGACCUAGUGUUUGUUUUCUUUUUUUGGUACCUGUGAUCGAACUUGGGUCCCUGUGCUUGCAAGGAAGGCACUGGAACAACUGAGCUAAAUCCCCAGCCCCGUGUUUUUUUUUUUUUUUUUUUUUUAACCUAGUGUUUUUAAAGUAUUGUCAGUCAACUUGUCUAGUUGGCAAACUUCAGUUUGGU